UUCAAACAAAUAAUAUUAAAUAAUAAAUAAAUAAAUAAAUAGGGGUAACGAACAGAACAAUUCAACAAAGGUUAGAUGAGCAUAAAAAGGAUAUACAAACAGACAAGAGUAACAACAGCAUUGGCAGAACAAGCUUAUUCCAGCAACAUCCAGAUAAAGUGGGACCAAGUAAGAGUAUUAAAACCAAUUAUUAAGCAAUCACAAGCAGUAACUCGAGAAACUAUAGAAACCAUCAGUAAAGCAGAAAAGCAAGACCUUUUAAAUGAUAGGCCCACGGCAGAAUUGCCAGAUGCUUGGAAAUACUUCUUAAAAUAGUUUUGAUAAAUACUAUGUAGCAUCAAAGCAUUAAUAAUUGGACUUUACAAAAUCUUUUAGUUUUUUCUAUAAUGACC
rnacentral:lncRNA from 1 species